CAAAAUUUCUUACAUAUUCAUCUUUGGGAGAAAGAUCAAGGCAUAUAGUGGGCUACUUCUGCAAAAGGAGGGAAGCAACAUAUUGCAUUUAAAGUGAAGCUUCCUCUAUGAUAUGGAGAUGCAAUCAUCCAUCUAAAGACAAGAUUGCCAAGAUAAAUCGAUGAUGCAUGGCUCAGAAGUUGAUUACAAGAUCGAGAAGGUGGC